AGUGAACGCUGGCGGUAGGCCUAACACAUGCAAGUCGAACGGCAGCACAGUAAGAGCUUGCUCUUACGGGUGGCGAGUGGCGGACGGGUGAGGAAUACAUCGGAAUCUACUUUUUCGUGGGGGAUAACGUAGGGAAACUUACGCUAAUACCGCAUACGACCUACGGGUGAAAGCAGGGGAUCUUCGGACCUUGCCCGAUUGAAUGAGCCGAUGUCGGAUUAGCUAGUUGGCGGGGUAAAGGCCCACCAAGGCGACGAUCCGUAGCUGGUCUGAGAGGAUGAUCAGCCACACUGGAACUGAGACACGGUCCAGACUCCUACGGGAGGCAGCAGUGGGGAAUAUUGGACAAUGGGCGCAAGCCUGAUCCAGCCAUACCGCGUGGGUGAAGAAGGCCUUCGGGUUAUAAAGCCCUUUUGUUGGGAAAGAAAAGCAGCAGGUUAAUACCCCGCUGUUCUGACGGUACCCAAAGAAUAAGCACCGGCUAACUUCGUG
rnacentral:rRNA from 1 species